CAAGGCACUCAAACAUCCAUUUCCAUCUGCCCAGGAUAAGCAACUUUACAUGAAUUAGGCUCAUGUGCACCAUAUGUCUCUUUAUUUCCAUCUUUAUCCUCCUUGCAAAGCUGUUUGAAGAAAAGAUGCCAGGUUGGUGUUUUUAGAGGUUCAGAAAGUUCAGUGCAGGGAGCAAAAAAGCAACAAGCUCAAAAAAAUCCUCAAAAAGCCUCCUAGAACAAAAUAAAAAUGAAACAACCCCCCUGCCUAAUCACUCACACUAAAGAAUUUGCAUAAUUUGCCUCCACUUUCACUAUUUCUACUGGCAGUACAAUUAUUUCAGCAAAGCAAGAGAUAAUUAAUUACCAAUAUUCACUUUAACUGAGUUUAAAUAACAAUUAGAAAUGCAUCAAUUAUCAGCAGACACAGGGAUAUAAACCAGAAACCAAGGGCUGGGUAAACCAGGUCAGUGAGUCCUGAGUGUGUGGGCCUGAAGGCAGGAACAGCUGUUUCCAAGCUAUAAAAGACAAUGUUUGUCUGCUCCUUUCCUGGAGAUUUCUGUUCCUGGCUGGGAUUUGGCUCAGGGGCUGAGGAUGACUCUUGGGAGGCAGCUUUGAGGCAUCAUCAUCAUCAUCACUUCACUGGAAGUUAAAUAGAGCACAAACGAGCACUGUGCACUUUAUUUCUUCACCCUGAACUUUGGAAGAUAAGUGACACGUGGACCUUCUGUGAAGUAACAAUUUUGCUUGUGAUGAAACAGAGGAAUCCACACAGGAAAAUGUCCUGGAGUGAAAGAACCCACUCAGAAAAGCGUCCCGAGCAUCUGCUUUGGGAUAGAAAAUAGAAAGGAAGGAGAUGGCAAAGAUUUGGAUGUGAAGAGUCCUUGGGGAGUUGAGAUCUGGUCCCUGACAAGUUUAAAUGUGAGUUUUGUGCCAUGAGGAGAAACAAACAGAGGAAGCAGAGAUUUCCUAGAAAAAUCUACAGGUCCAGACACGGGUUGUUGUCUUCUGACCCAUCCUGGUUCCCAGCAUCCCAAACACGUGUUCAUGCCAAGGAUGUCAGGAGGUCUGGAAAGAGCUACCUCGAGGUGAUUUGGCCUCCUGGCCACCUCCUCUGCUGCCAAAUUUCUCUCUGUUCUCACACUCCUGGUGACACUCACCACUCACAUGUGCUCAGCCGAUUCAGCAGGGUUUGGAUACUGCCAGAGAAGAUGGCAGGGAUGGGUUCAUCACCCCUGGACAACUCCAAAAAGUGGAAAGGUGCAGGAUUUGUACCACAAUGGAUCAUCCCAGAACAAAGGAAAAGCCAAACAAGCAGGAGUAGCCUGAGGGCAGAACGUGCCAUUAGAUGUAUGAACAAUGCAGCAGGGAAGGAGAGAGGGGAGCAGUGAAGGAUCAGAGUCACUUUUUGAGAGAUAGGGAAAAGCAAGAGAAGGAUUGUAAAGAAAGCUUAUCUUGUUCCUGCCUGUUCUCCCACUGCCUUCGGGAUUAUGCAAAUGAAUCAUUCAAGUAGAUUUCCCUGGUAAUUAAAAACUCUGCUCUUUUUAAUUAAACUUUCCCUCCAGAGUGAGGUUUUUUUUUGGUUUUUUUUUUUUUUUUCUUUUUGUUUUUAGUUCCCCCUUGAGAAACUAAUCUUUACAAGAAUUCUUUUCUUUUUCCUCCUCUCUUAGUUUCUUCUUUUUCUUUCCCUUCUCCCUCACAAUUGUCAAGGCCUGUCACAAACUGAUCUGAGCACUGAGUUAAACUAGAAUUUGCUGGAGAAAGCAACAGGAGAAAACUUUGAAUCUGGGCUGAGGCAGCAAGUGGGAGUCGGACUUCAGAGCGUGGGAAUGACUUUAAGGGCUUGUGCACAGAAGCAGAAAGAAAAUUUCAGAGGAAAUCCAAAGAAAGGUAGGAUGGAAAAAAAAAUUACAAGUUUGAGUGCUUCCAGCUCCUGAGAUUUAGCUGGUAGGAGGUCUGCAAGGAGAUAUAAUUAGUAGGGAAGCUGUAAUGAACUCGAGGUGCUGGAAUAUUUAACUGCAGGUCAUGAGAAAUUGGCAGGGUUAAACCAGAUGAACAAUUACUGCACAAUGUCACUUCAGAGAGGUUUUUCUGCAUUUCCAGCAGCUGAUGGAAUCAUAGAAUCGUGGAAUAUCCUGAGCUGGAAGGGACCCACAAAGAUCAUCAAAGUCCAGUUCCUUCCCUGCACAGGGGACCCCAGGAAUUCCACCAUGGAGACAAAGUCUGCAUCAAACAUGCUCAAAUUCAAUGCUGGAUUCAUGUUCUCCUUUAUUCAUUGUCUUGGGAUGUGAUGUUUCAAUACAAGACACGGAUGCCAGUGCUGUUGUCACUAUCACCACCAUGUCCCAGCCCUCUGAAGGAUUUUUUCUCCUUCCCUUCACUGGACAAGACCCUGUGGAAGCUGGAAGGCUGGAAAAAGAAAACAAAACAAGGAAAGCAAAGAAAACUCACGGGGUUCUGAGCAACCUGGUCUCGUGGAAAGUUGGCCCAUGGUAGGGGCUUGGAAUGAGAUGAUCUUUAAAAGUCCCUUGCAACCCAAACCAUUCUGGGAUUCUGUGAUUUGCCACCAGGAGUCAUCUGAGCUUUCAAUUCCCAUGAGGCUCUGGUGAAUGAUGCAAGGCCUGUUAUAACUUGUCAGGACCCUGAUCCUGUGAGGACAGCUCACUUUGUCAGCCUCUGAUUCUGGAGUUUGGAGCCAGGUUUUGCUCCUUGUACCCCUGUGAGCACCUUGGAUACCAGGAGAGAGGGUGAUAAGCAGAGUCAUUUAAUUUGGGUGUUUUCCUUUGAGUACAGUCAGUGAAGAAGAAUCCAGAAGUGAUCAGGGCUGGGUGGAUCUCACCCCAAAUAAGAUUCCUGUGUUAGAGAAUCCUGGAUUGGUUUGGGUUGGAAAGGACCUUGGGUCAGCCUGGGAUA